rnacentral:lncRNA from 1 species
GGUUGGUUAAGGAAGAUUUCGAUUUGAAAUCUGGUGAGAAAUCGGAAGGGAAGGCUGCUGCUUCUGCAACUACCGCGGGGGAAUCAAGUAAUAAAAGCAGUGAAAAUUCAGUUAUAGCCAGCCAGGCUUCUGUAGCUGAUGAAGAAGACAUGGGAUGGGAUGAGAUUGAGGAUCUGAGUAGUAUUGAUGAGAAGAAAGUGACCCACAGUGGAAGCCCUAAUCGUGCUGAACUGCGGAAGCGGCUGAGUGCUGCAGAGGAAGAUGAAGACUUGAGUUGGGAUAUUGAUGAUGAUGAUGAUGAUGAGCCGGCUAAAGCUUGAUCUGAACU